rnacentral:rRNA from 1 species
UACGUAGGUCCCGAGCGUUGUCCGGAUUUAUUGGGCGUAAAGCGAGCGCAGGUGGUUUAUUAAGUCUGGUGUAAAAGGCAGUGGCUCAACCAUUGUAUGCAUUGGAAACUGGUAGACUUGAGUGCAGGAGAGGAGAGUGGAAUUCCAUGUGUAGCGGUGAAAUGCGUAGAUAUUAGGAGGAACACCAGUGGCGAAGGCGGCUUACUGGACGGUAACUGACACUGAGGCUCGAAAGCGUGGGGAGCAAACAGG